rnacentral:rRNA from 1 species
AGUGAACGCUGGCGGUAGGCCUAACACAUGCAAGUCGAACGGCAGCACAGUAAGAGCUUGCUCUUACGGGUGGCGAGUGGCGGACGGGUGAGGAAUACAUCGGAAUCUACUUUUUCGUGGGGGAUAACGUAGGGAAACUUACGCUAAUACCGCAUACGACCUACGGGUGAAAGCAGGGGAUCUUCGGACCUUGCGCGAUUGAAUGAGCCGAUGUCGGAUUAGCUAGUUGGCGGGGUAAAGGCCCACCAAGGCGACGAUCCGUAGCUGGUCUGAGAGGAUGAUCAGCCACACUGGAACUGAGACACGGUCCAGACUCCUACGGGGAGCAGCAGUGGGGAAUAUUGGACAAUGGGGGCAAGCCUGAUCCAGCCAUACCGCGUGGGUGAAGAAGGCCUUCGGGUUGUAAAGCCCUUUUGUUGGGAAAGAAAAGCAGCAGGUUAAUACCCCGCUGUUCUGACGGUACCCAAAGAAUAAGCACCGGCUAACUUCGUG